UACGAAGGGGGCUAGCGUUGCUCGGAAUCACUGGGCGUAAAGGGCGCGUAGGCGGCUUGAUCAGUCGGGGGUGAAAGCCUGUGGCUCAACCACAGAAUUGCCUUCGAUACUGUCUGGCUUGAGACCGGAAGAGGUAAGUGGAACUGCGAGUGUAGAGGUGAAAUUCGUAGAUAUUCGCAAGAACACCAGUGGCGAAGGCGGCUUACUGGUCCGGUUCUGACGCUGAGGCGCGAAAGCGUGGGGAGCAAACAGG
rnacentral:rRNA from 1 species